UAACAGGUAACAAUUGCUCGGCCUUGG
rnacentral:sRNA from 1 species